GACGAGGGAUCCUAGCGUUGCCCGGAAUUAUUGGGCGUAAAGCGGGUGUAGGUGGCUUGGUAAGUCGGGUGUGAAAGCCCUCGGCUCAACCGAGGAAGUGCGCCCGAAACUGCAGAGCUUGAGUGCCGGAGAGGGUGGCGGAAUUCCCCAAGUAGAGGUGAAAUUCGUAGAUAUGGGGAGGAACACCAGUGGCGAAGGCGGCCACCUGGACGGUUACUGACGCUGAGACGCGAAAGCGUGGGGAGCAAACAGG
rnacentral:rRNA from 1 species